rnacentral:pre_miRNA from 1 species
UCUUAUAGAUAAGCAAAGAAAGUGGUUUCUUGAGAUGGAAUCUUCUCCUGGUGAAGAUGCUAUGAA